CUCCGCCGCUGUUUAAUUUGGAAGCACAAUCCGUCAAUCUCUCGGUUGUUCUCCUUCAAACCCUACUCCGUCGAAGAACCACAACCCCUCCGCCGUUCUCUGUCGUUCUUUGCAUUUCCAAGGUAUGUAGUAACUUCAUCUAUCGUUCCAAUGUCUGAUUGAUUGUAUGUUAUUUCUCUUUAGCUUGUUUCUAUACCGCGUUUUAUGGGUCAAACAAGAGAUGAACAUGAACUGAUGACAACAAAAUAAUCUUUGAGUUACAAAUUAAUUUUGNNNNNNNNNNNNNNNNNNNNNNNNNNNNNNNNNNNNNNNNNNNNNNNNNGCAUAAUUUUUUGUAUUUUUGUUGAUAAUAUCUAUAUUUGGGGUUCAGCUUUUGGUAACAAGGCUUUAUAUUUGUUAGCAAACUUUGUUUGUGAUGCAUGUUUUUAUCAUCGUUUUUGGUUUGUUGGUUACAGGAAGGAACCAACUACACACUCCUCCAUGUAAACUUUUUCUUCAUCAUUAAUUUUAACUUAAUUGUUAUCAUAAAUAUGUUUUUUUUCUCUUCACUAAUUUGGAAGAAAGAUUAGUUUGUCAUGCUUUUUUGGUUGCGAUUUGUUUUGUUUCUAGAAAUAUGUUUUUGUCAUGGAAGCAAGCUUAUGAAAGAUUGUGAUUAUUAAAGCAAGCUUUCAAGUUUCAAUUCAGGGUAAGAGUUCAUGAACACAUUUGUAAUUUCAUCUAUAUUUAAUUUAAUUUCAUCUAUAUUUAAAUCCUUGUUUCAGGCUGUAGUUUGUCUUGCCUUGCUUCUCAUGUACUAGUUUUGGAGAAAUCCUAAUCAUAUUAACACAAUAAAAGUGUUUUUUCUACUAGUGUUUGCUAACAGGGGUCAUAUGGUUUUUGAUCCAGUCAUUGACUAAUAGCAUCUCUUCAACAAGGUUUGUCUUCUACAUUUACCCUGGUAUAAUCAGCCACCAUGACUCUUUUUUUCAGGGAGUAGUUUGAUUUUGUUAUGCCUCUUUGAUUUCAGCUUGUAGGACUAGGUUUUGAUGCAAUUUUGGCUUUCAUAUUCACUAAUGUAUAACACUAAGGCUCUGCAGCUUUUUUAUGUUUUUUUAGAUAGUUUUAGACUUUUUUUUUUUUACAAAAGAGUUAGUUGUAGACUUUUAGUAGUCACAAUUUGUUGAAUUCUGUUUUUG
rnacentral:lncRNA from 1 species